rnacentral:rRNA from 1 species
UGAUUAAUAUAGAAUUUAUUUAUUAAUUUUUAUGUUAUUUUGUUUAUAAUUUAUUAAAAAUAAUUAUAUCGUUUAAUGUUUUAGUAAUUUUUAAUGAAAAAAUAAUAUUUAUUAUAGUUUAUUAGUAUUGUUAAAGAAUAUUGAAAUAUUUUGAAAAAUUUUUAUAAUAAAAGAAAAUUUUAUUUAUUGUACCUUGUGUAUCAGGGUUUAUUAAAUAAUUAAUAAAUAUUUAUUAAUCUCGAUUUUAUAAGAGUUAAUAAUUUAUAAAAGUUAAUGUAUUAAAAUUAUUUUUAAUAAAUUAUUAGAAAUGAAAUGUUAUUCGUUUAUAAAGGUAUCUAGUUAUUUCAGAAAUAAAUUUAAUUUACGAAUUUUUAAUUUUUUAAUUAAUUUUUUAAUUAAAAAAUUUAUUAAUUUGAAUAUUUUAAGGGAUAAGCUUUAAAAUAAAUUAUUAAAAAUUAAUAAAUUUAAUAUAAAAUGUAUGCUUAUAAUUAGCAAUCAUUUUUGAUUUUGUUAUAAAUUAUUUUAUUAAUUAUAUUAUUUUAUAAAUUUUAAUUUUAUAUGAAAUAAUUUUUGUUAAUAUUAUUAUAGAAAGUAAUAAUGAUAAAAUUAGUAUAUAUUUAUUGUUUAUAUAUGUUUAUAUAUGAUAAGUUCAUAUAAAGAAUUCGGCAAAUUUUGUACUCGCCUGUUUAACAAAAACAUGUCUUUUUGAGUUAAUUUAAAAGUCUGACCUGCCCACUGAUAUUAUAAUUAAAUGGCCGCAGUAUUCUAACUGUGCAAAGGUAGCAUAAUCAUUAGUCUUUUAAUUGAAGGCUGGAAUGAACGGUUGGACGAAGUAUAAGCUGUUUCAUAUAAAAUUAUAAUAGAAUUUUAUAUUUUAGUUAAAAAGCUAAAAUAUUAUUAAAAGACGAGAAGACCCUAUAAAUCUUUAUAUUUUAAAUUAAUUAAAUUUUAUAGAUUUAUUUAAUUUUUUUAUUUUAAAAUAUUUUGUUGGGGUGAUAUUAAAAUUUAAAAAACUUUUAAUUUAUUUAGUUCAUUAAUUUAUGAUUUAUUGAUCCAUUAAUAUUGAUUAUAAGAUUAAGUUACUUUAGGGAUAACAGCGUAAUUUUUUUAGAGAGUUCAUAUCGAUAAAAAAGUUUGCGACCUCGAUGUUGGAUUAAGAAAAAUUUUAGGUGUAGCUGCUUAAAAAUUAAGUCUGUUCGAC